rnacentral:rRNA from 1 species
UAAGGAAUAUUGGGCAAUGGACGAAAGUCUGACCCAGCCAUGCCGCGUGAAGGAUUAAGGUCCUCUGGAUUGUAAACUUCUUUUCUCUGGGGCGAAAAACAGCUAUUCUUAGUUGCUUGACAGUACCAGAGGAAUAAGCACCGGCUAACUCCGUGCCAGCAGCCGCGGUAAUACGGAGGGUGCAAGCGUUAUCCGGAUUCACUGGGUUUAAAGGGUGCGUAGGUGGGCUAGUAAGUCCGUGGUGAAAUCCCCGAGCUUAACUCGGGAACUGCCAUUGAUACUAUUAGUCUUGAAUAUCGUGGAGGUAAGCGGAAUAUGUCAUGUAGCGGUGAAAUGCUUAGAUAUGACAUAGAACACCAAUUGCGAAGGCAGCUUGCUACACGGUCAUUGACACUGAGGC